rnacentral:rRNA from 1 species
UACGAGAGGCCCAAACGUUAUUCGGAAUUACUGGGCUUAAAGAGUUCGUAGGCGGCGCAGAAAGUAGGGUGUGAAAGCCCUCGGCUCAACCGAGGAAUUGCGCUCUAAACUACUGUGCUUGAGGAAGCUAGAGGUGAGCGGAACUGAUGGUGGAGCGGUGAAAUGCGUUGAUAUCAUCAGGAACACCGGAGGCGAAGGCGGCUCACUGGGGCUUUUCUGGACGCUGAGGAACGAAAGCCAGGGGAGCGAACGGGG